AACACAACUCACCUGCUUGAGCGGCUUAC
rnacentral:sRNA from 1 species